CAGCCGCCGCGGGAAUACAGAGGGUGCGAGCGUUAAUCGGAUUUACUGGGCAUAAAGCGUGCGUAGGCGGCUUUUUAAGUCGGAUGUGAAAUCCCUGAGCUUAACUUAGGAAUUGCAUUCGAUACUGGGAAGCUAGAGUAUGGGAGAGGAUGGUAGAAUUCCAGGUGUAGCGGUGAAAUGCGUAGAGAUCUGGAGGAAUACCGAUGGCGAAGGCAGCCAUCUGGCCUAAUACUGACGCUGAGGUACGAAAGCAUGGGGAGCAAACAGGAUUAGAUACCCCCGUAGUCCCUGUCUCUUAUAA
rnacentral:rRNA from 1 species